UACGUAGGGUGCAAGCGUUAAUCGGAAUUACUGGGCGUAAAGCGUGACGCAGGCGGCUUUGCAAGACAGAUGUGAAAUCCCCGGGCAUCCAAGCCUGGGAACUGGCAUUUGUGACUGCAUGGCUAGAGUACGGUAGAGGGGGAUGGAAUUCCGCGUGUAGCAGUGAAAUGCGUAGAGAUGUGGAGGAACACCGAUGGCGAAGGCAGCCCCCCUGGGAUAACACUGACGCUCAGGCACGGAAAGCGUGGGGAGCAAACAGG
rnacentral:rRNA from 1 species